UCAGAACGUCGCAAGACAGUUCGGUCCCUAUCUGUGAUGGGCGUUAGUAAAUUGAGAGGACAUGACCUUAGUACGAGAGGACCGGGUCGUAUGUACCGCUGGUGUAUCUGUUGUGCCGCCAGGUGCAAUGCAGAGUAGCUAUGUACAGGCAGGAUAAACGCUGAAAGCAUCUAAGCGUGAAACCUUCCUCAAGAUGAGUUUACUUUUAAGGGUCGUCGAAGACUACGACGUUGAUAGGCUAUAGGUAUAAAGGUGGUAACAUCAAAGCCGAGUAGUACUAAUUACCCGUUAGCUUUAUUUUU
rnacentral:rRNA from 1 species